rnacentral:rRNA from 1 species
CAGUCGCCGCGGGAAUACCAGCAGCCCAAGUGGUGGUCGCGAUUAUUGGGCCUAAAGCGCUCGAGGCCGGGCCGGUAAGUCCCUUGUGAAAUCGGACGGCCUAACCGUUCGGCGUGCAAGGGAUACUGUCGGUCUUGAGGCCGGGAGACGUCCGAGGUACUCCGGGGGUAGCGGUGAAAUGUUCUGAUCCUCGGGGGACCACCGGUGGCGAAGGCGUUCGACGAGAACGGGCCUGACGGUGAGGGGCGAAGGCUAGGGGAGCAAACGGGAUUAGAGACCCCCGUAGUCCCUGUCUCUUAUC